GAUGAACGCUGGCGGCGUGCCUAAUACAUGCAAGUCGAGCGAACAGACGAGGAGCUUGCUCCUCUGACGUUAGCGGCGGACGGGUGAGUAACACGUGGAUAACCUACCUAUAAGACUGGGAUAACUUCGGGAAACCGGAGCUAAUACCGGAUAAUAUAUUGAACCACAUGGUUCAAUAGUGACAGACGGUUUUGCUGUCACUUAUAGAUGGAUCCGCGCCGCAUUAGCUAGUUGGUAAGGUAACGGCUUACCAAGGCAACGAUGCGUAGCCGACCUGAGAGGGUGAUCGGCCACACUGGAACUGAGACACGGUCCAGACUCCUACGGGAGGCAGCAGUAGGGAAUCUUACGCAAUGGGCGAAAGCCUGACGGAGCAACGCCGCGUGAGUGAUGAAGGUCUUCGGAUCGUAAAACUCUGUUAUUAGGGAAGAACAAAUGUGUAAGUAACUAUGCACGUCUUGACGGUACCUAAUCAGAAAGCCACGGCUAACUACGUG
rnacentral:rRNA from 1 species